AGUGGCGGACGGGUGCGUAACACGUGAGUAAUUUGCCGGGAGGAGGGGGAUAGCCCGUGGAAACGCGGAUUAAUACCCUGUGUGAUUUCGAUUGGCAUCAAUCGGAAAUCAAAGGUGCUGUAAAAGGUGCCGCCUCCUGAUGAACUCGCGGCCUAUCAGCUUGUUGGCGGGGUAACGGCCCACCAAGGCGAUGACGGGUAGCCGGUCUGAGAGGAUGACCGGCCACACUGGAACUGAGACACGGUCCAGACACCUGCGGGUGGCAGCAGUCGAGAAUCAUUCACAAUGGGCGAAAGCCUGAUGGUGUGACGCCGCGUGGAGGAUGACGGUCUUCGGAUUGUAAACUCCUGUCAUGAGAGAGUAAAGCCGGGGGUUAACUGCCCGCCGGUCUGAGAGUAUCUCAAGAGGAAGAGACGGCUAACUCUAUGCCAGCAGCCGCGGUAAUACAGAGGUCUCAAGCGUUGUUCGGAAUCACUGGGCGUAAAGGGUGCGUAGGCGGCGCGGAAAGUCAGGGGUGAAAUCCCGGAGCUCAACUCCGGAACUGCCUUUGAUACUCCCGUGCUUGAGUACUGGAGAGGAGUUCGGAAUUCACGGUGGAGCAGUGAAAUGCGUGGAUAUCGUGAGGAACACUAGUGGCGAAGGCGGAACUCUGGACAGUUA
rnacentral:rRNA from 1 species